UAUAGCUAGGCUCCUAUACUUUCGAAAGUACGGGGAUCUCCGAUUCGUCGAUCGGUUCCAUUAGAUAUGAUCUACACUAUUGGAACUAUCUAGAAACCAAAUUUUAUAAUUUUUUAACUUCGUUUGCCUAGUGAACAAGUAGCCUAAAAAUGAACGGCUGAAAAUAAAAAUCUCAUAAAAAAUAAUGAUAAAGGACUCAAAUUUUAAAUCGGAAAUAUUGAUCUUGCUAUUGACGUUAAGUAGAAUUUUCUAUUAAAUUUUCAUGUAAUUUGGAUAUUUCUACACCGUUGAACUUAAAAACGUGCCGCAUCGGCCGUUAAAAUAGUCAUUUUUGGGACCUUUUGAUCGCUUAGUAAAUGAUGUCAAAAAAUUAUAAAAUUUGGUUUCUAAAUAGUUCCAAUAGGGUAGAUUAUAUCUAACGGAGCCGAUCGUUGAAUCGGAUGUCCUAUUAUCGAAAACAACUUACAAAUACGGAUGUCCCGGUGCUUUCGAAAGUGUAGUAGACGGACUAUAU
rnacentral:lncRNA from 1 species